rnacentral:rRNA from 1 species
UCUGAUCUCAGAUCAAGCAAGAAGACCCGCCGAAUUUAAGCAUAUAAUUAAGCGGAGGAAAAGAAACUAACCAGGAUUCCCCUAGUAAGGGCGACUGAAGCGGGAAUAGCUCACGAUGUGAAUCAGCGCUGCUUUGUGGCGCCGAAUUGUGGUCUGAAAACGUUUGCAUUACUGGCGGGGCCAAGUCCCUUGGAACAGGGCAGCCGAGAGGGUGAGACUCCCGUGUGCCCUGCCUUUGGAGCGAGCGUUUGACGAGUCGAGUUGUUUGGGAUUGCAGCUCUAAGUGGGUGGU